rnacentral:rRNA from 1 species
AUGGCGGCGGCGGCGCCGGCGGGCGAGCCGGAGGUGAUCCGGGACAAGGCGGCGAUGCGGGCGUGGUCGCGGCGCCAACGCGCCGAGGGCAAGACGGUGGUGCUCGUGCCCACCAUGGGCUUCCUCCACGAGGGCCACCUCUCGCUCGUCUCCGCCGCGGCGGCCGUGCCCGGCCCCGUCGCCGUCGUCGUCUCCAUCUACGUCAACCCCAGCCAGUUCGCCCCCACCGAGGACCUCGCCACCUACCCCUCCGACCUCGCCGGGGACCUCCGCAAGCUCGCCUCCACCGGCGCCGUCCACGCCGUCUUCAACCCCCCGGACCUCUACCACCGCGGCGCCGCUGUCUCUGCCCGCCGCGCCGCCGAGGCUCCCUCCUGCCUGGACGCGGGCGGGGACGGCCACGAGACGUGGAUCCGGGUGGAGCGGCUGGAGAAGGGGCUGUGUGGGGCCAGCCGGCCAGUCUUCUUCCGCGGGGUGGCCACCGUCGUCGCCAAGCUGUUCAACGUCGUCGAGCCCGACGUCGCCAUGUUCGGGAAGAAGGAUUAUCAGCAGUGGCGCCUCAUCUGCCGAAUGGUUCGCGACCUUGAUUUUGCCGUGGAGAUUGUAGGAUCAGAAAUAGUGCGAGAAGCAGAUGGUCUUGCCAUGAGCUCUCGCAACGUCCGCCUAUCGCCUGAAGAAAGGGAGAAGGCAUUAUCCAUUAGUAGAUCACUGGUAAAUGCUAGAACUGCUGCGUUGAAUAAUAGCAACAGUGCUAGCGAACAUAUAAAGGAUCAGAUAGUGCAGACGCUGACUGAAGCUGGCGGUCGUGUUGAUUAUGUUGAGACUGUGGAGCAGGAAAGUUUGGUACCUGUGGAGACGAUCGACCGCCCUGUUGUCAUUUGUGUCGCCGCAUGGUUUGGAAAGGUUAGAUUGAUCGACAAUAUCGAAAUUCAUAUACAAUCCUGA